CCUACGGGAGGCUGCAGUGGGGAAUAUUGGACAAUGGGGGGAACCCUGAUCCAGCCAUGCCGCGUGUGUGAAGAAGGCCCUCGGGUUGUAAAGCACUUUCAGUGAGGAAGAACGCCUGGUGGUUAAUACCCAUCAGGAAAGACAUCACUCACAGAAGAAGCACCGGCUAACUCCGUGCCAGCAGCCGCGAUAAUACGGAGGGUGCGAGCGUUAAUCGGAAUUACUGGGCGUAAAGCGCGCGUAGGUGGCUUGAUAAGCCGGUUGUGAAAGCCCCGGGCUCAACCUGGGAACGGCAUCCGGAACUGUCAAGCUAGAGUGCAGGAGAGGAAGGUAGAAUUCCCGGUGUAGCGGUGAAAUGCGUAGAGAUCGGGAGGAAUACCAGUGGCGAAGGCGGCCUUCUGGACUGACACUGACACUGAGGUGCGAAAGCGUGGGUAGCAAACAGGAUUAGAUACCCCAGUAGUC
rnacentral:rRNA from 1 species